rnacentral:rRNA from 1 species
CCUACGGGAGGCAGCAGUGAGGAAUAUUGGUCAAUGGACGAGAGUCUGAACCAGCCAAGUAGCGUGAAGGAUGAAUGCCCUAUGGGUUGUAAACUUCUUUUAUAUGGGAAUAAAAUGUUCCACGUGUGGGAUUUUGUAGGUACCAUAUGAAUAAGGAUCGGCUAACUCCGUGCCAGCAGCCGCGGUAAUACGGAGGAUCCGAGCGUUAUCCGGAUUUAUUGGGUUUAAAGGGAGCGUAGGUGGAUUCUUAAGUCAGGUGUGAAAGGCUGCGGCUCAACCGUGGAAGUGCAGUGGAACCUGGCAGUCUUGAGUGCAGUAGAGGUGGGCGGAAUUCGUGGUGUAGCGGUGAAAUGCUUAGAUAUCACGAAGAACUCCGAUUGCGAAGGCAGUUCACUGGACUGCAACUGACGCUGAGGCUCGAAAGUGUGGGUAUCAAACAGGAUUAGAUACCCUUGUAGUC